rnacentral:tmRNA from 1 species
GGGGGCGCGUGGAUUCGACAGGGGAGGUAUACUGCGGAAUUGCAAGCUGAGGUGCCACUAUCUCACUAAACAGGUGGCAAAACAACAACUGCCAAUGAAGCAGAAUUAGUCGCUGCCUAAUUAAUUAGGUAACGCAUCCAACCUGGCCUCACCUCGACGGGCCGGGAUUGGGUGACGAUUAGCCGAGGUGCCGCCGCCCGGACGUCGAUAAGGGUGGUGAAAGAAAACAUCGACUUGCCUGGCUAAACCCGGUCGGCAGGGGUUAGCCGGGCAAGAUAAAAUGGCUGACUAAGCUUGUAGCAGAUUCCGGGUAGCUUCUCUUGGACGGGGGGUUCGACUCCCCCCCGCCUCCACCA